ACACUGGUGGCGCAGUGGCAGAGCUCCUGUCUUCCACACAGGAGACCCAGGUUUGAUUCCCGGCCAGUGUA